GCAGACACAUUCCAGCCAAUCAGCAGCAGACCCUCCCUCCCAGACUCUCCCACCUCCUGGACAGCAUCCUUUGUGAAGCUGCAUUCUUAGUGAGCUGUCCAGGAGGUGGGAGGGUCUGGGAGGGAGGGUCUGCUGCUGAUUGGCUGGAAUGUGUCUU